CAGUCGCCGCGGUAAUACGUAGGUGGCAAGCGUUGUCCGGAGUUAUUGGGCGUAAAGGGCUCGCAGGCGGUUUCUUAAGUCUGAUGUGAAAGCCCCCGGCUCAACCGGGGAGGGUCAUUGGAAACUGGGAAACUUGAGUGCAGAAGAGGAGAGUGGAAUUCCACGUGUAGCGGUGAAAUGCGUAGAGAUGUGGAGGAACACCAGUGGCGAAGGCGACUCUCUGGUCUGUAACUGACGCUGAGGAGCGAAAGCGUGGGGAGCGAACAGGAUUAGAGACCCCAGUAGUCCCUGUCUCUUAUAC
rnacentral:rRNA from 1 species